rnacentral:misc_RNA from 1 species
UUUCCGUAGGUGAACCUGCGGAAGGAUCAUUAAUUAUAUAAGGCCACGGGGCAAGCUUUCCGAAAGGAUCGAGCCUGCUGUGUGAACCCUACCUACCCUUGCUUUUUGCGUACCCAUUGUUUCCUCGGCAGGCUUGCCUGCCAGUAGGACCCUCUUAAACCCUUUGUAAUUGCAGUCAGUGUCAGAAACAACGUAAUCGUUACAACUUUCAACAACGGAUCUCUUGGUUCUG